UAUAUAACACUUGGAUGCAGAAAAUCCAGUCGAAAGCCUUGGAAGGGGGAAAAACCAGGGAGCAACUGCAAAAGUCACCUCCUUGCAGAUCCCUCUGGAGAGUAAUCUUAUUGGGCUCAUGGCACACUUUUACUUCCAGCUGAGAGCCGCCACAAUGCCCUAUGGAAUUGUACCACCCGGGCGCCAAAUUCUGUACUACAAGCAGUUGGACAAGCACAAGCCCCCCGCCC